UGGAGGGAUUGUAAGAUACUUUCAAGCCUGUAACAAAUAUACUUAUGGAUUGACUCUGUUCAGAUUACGGUCAGUAGGAGUUUUGCUAUUGUUUUCAUUGAAUGUAGCCCUGAGAUCUUUAAAAGUGUGAAGACCUCAGGUGAGUUUUCUUUUUAGAAAAAUGAGAAUUGGUACGCAGAGAAAACUUUUGUACAAACUACAAUAACUUGACAGAUCUUCUGCUGAGGAUAGAGUGCACCAGAGCAAACCAAUAUGUCUUAAUUAAUAAUCCUGUCUACUCAGUAAAACUUCAGUAAUACUAAUCAUUUCCUGAGAAGCUCUGGAAGAGUCUUGGCUGAAUACAAAGGCUUUUUUUUUUUCUUUUUUUUUUUUUCACCUACUAGUUGAUUUUCUCUUUCAGAAUCAUAUUACUGUAGUGUUUUGAAGAUAAAUAAAAACUACUAAUGAAUAUGUAUGUGCUUCCUGAUGUAGAGUAUGUCAGUGAAUAUUCUAGGACAGUUUUAUAUUCUGCAAUGAAUGUGCUCCUUUGAAGUUUUACUGAUGUAAAAAUGCAGUCAUUAUGUUUGGGUCACACAUCAGUUUACUGAUGUAGUUAGACAAUGAAACUAAGCUUAGACAAAUAUUUCAAGACAGGAACGCUUUCAACUUCAAACAGCAAAAUACCUUGAAAAUUCUUUUAAAUAGCAGCAAGACAGCUAAAAAAAAAUUAUUUUGAGAGUAUGGAACAAGCUUCAUUUUUACCUGUUAGGUAGACAAACACAUUUCUCAUCUGCUUAAAGAAAAAAAAAAAAAAAAAAAAAAAAAAAGGAAUGAGUUACGAGCCACUGGAGGAUUAGAGGUGUCCAUAUGAAGACCACAGACAUAUGGAUACUAUACGACUAUACUGUGCAGCACCUGCAAUCCAGCAUGCUGACUUCAUGCCAUGCCAUACAGGGAGAGCAGUGGCAGCUGGGACCUGGGCAGACAAUUACCCACACCUCGCACCCCUGGGCAGUCUCAGGAACAGGAGCAGAGCUGGCUGUGUGCUGUUUGAGCUUCCAGACCUCUGAAGUUUUGAAAAGCUGGGUCUUGGUCCUACAGACAUUUAAGAAGUUGUGCACAAGGUGCAUUGCUUUAGUUUUUUCCCUUAAAGCUUUGCCACGAACCAAACGUUUCUCUGGCGACCCUGAGGUUUUCACCCCUCGCUUCUGGGCGGAGAGCAAGGAAAUGCACCAUCAUGGUUUUGCUCUUGGAGUGGAAGAGACUGCCAAGGAUGAGAAGACGCGGAGGGGGAAGCAUCAUCCGAGGGAAGGCUCCAAGGGUACGCGGCCAGCUUCAAGGGAGAACAAAGCUGCAUUAACACUUUGGUUUGUUGCUGACUUUUAGGCUUGGAAAAUUGCCCAUUUGGCUGCUGAGGCAGCAGCCUGGGUUGUUUUGAAACUUGGCUGUGAAUAGAAUGCAAAGGGAAUUUUCCCCCUCCAGGUUCAUGCAUCACUAACCAUGCCAGGCGUGCUGCUCCGCGCCGUGCGCCCUGAAUGAAUAAACCACCUCUCAGAAAGAACCGACGUGGCUAA
rnacentral:lncRNA from 1 species